rnacentral:lncRNA from 1 species
GAAAUUUAUUUGGUUAAUAUUAGUUUGGAUGCAGGAAAGAAAGAUGUCAUGUCAGUUUCUGCCCUUAUUCGUCUCCAAUGCAUCCCUAUUCAUUCUCUGUGCGUCGGUGUGGCUAUCUUCUCCUAUUUCUUUUUUCCUUCAAAGGAAUUUUUUCCAUUUUAUUCUUUCAAAAGGCAAGGCUAAGCCAUCCGCCCUUCAUUGCAGGGGAAAAGGGGACACGGUUCCCAAGGGGUGGCUAGUUCUAGUAACAGAGACGGAUACAGAUAAGGUCCUUUUUCUGAGAGACCCGCUCUUGACUUUAAUCAUACCCACUAGUAAGCGCAGUGGAUGCUCCUUCAUACAGGGACAGAGAGGCGAGUGAUGGGCACUACUCAUCAUAAGAAGAAAGCAGUCAUGCAGAUAGAAAGGGUAAAACAAUGACUCUGACUAAGUAAAGAGAUUUGGUUUUUUUAUCAUAUAUUUUUCAUACCACAGCUCUAGACUUGCCCCUAUUCAAAGUUUCAUUCAUACCACCCUUGUGGGUUGUUCGCAAUUCACAUGAAAGACCGGUUGAGUACCUUGGCCCGGGUAGGUGGUGCUGAGUUCCGUGUCCUUGGCAGGCUCGACCAUCGGAGAUCCGUUCAUUACGAACGUUUUUUCUCGAUAUGGACCAAGCUCCGACUUCCUUUUUAGCUUUGGCUCGGAAGAGGUCGAGAUCUCCACCAACCAAUAAAAUUGGGGAGUGCAUAAAAAGCACCUCAUUCAUUGAUGGGAGAGUCCCCACCGGUCAGCGAUUUGGUUUUAUGCAUUACACAAGGUGUUUUUUUCGGACGAGUACUAAUUGAAUUGGGUACGCGCCUAACUCAGCUAAGCUAAUAAAUGCUGCAUAAGAGAGUGGGAGGCCGGCCCCCGCCCAUCUGGAGGUGCACACCCUUUUAGGAACAUAUGCAAAGGGGUAAAGAGAGAAGUCAAUGGAGAACUACCAAAUUCGGAUUCGGAACCAAUGACUUUGAUUUGUUCGUACAGGUUACGCGGUGGAUCUUAUAAGGCCUACUCACGUCAAGGUCUUCCGGCAUCUAAACGUUGGAAGCGCCUUUAUCUCUUAAUGUUUUCGCCGACUGGCAUACUUCCUUUACCAUUGAAGUUUUGGUUAGCAUUUCCAGAUUUGGGAGUGUUGACUGCAGAGCAGUAUGGAAUGGUAAGGGCGUUUAUCAUGGAGCGUGUACGUCCAUCAAACUUCAAUGAAGUUGAAAUUGAUCGGAUUCGUACUUUCUAUGGUGACGAUGCAGAUUGCAUGUUUCAAAGACUUUUGAAAGAUGGAUGGAGUAUCAUCUCCGAUAUCUGCAUUGGUAUGCUACUGCAUGGUUGGACUACUAGAACAACGACACUACUGCAAGCUUAAGAAUAGAGUCGUGUGAGUGCAUGGUUGGUCCUGAACCAGAGAUGAGGUAAGGAUAUGUAUACCUGGGCGAAACUUUUUGGGUUUAUGAGUUGUCCGACUCAUUCGAAAGCGUUGAAUGCAUAAUGAUGAAAGACAAGGGACUGGAACUGAUUGCUGAGAAGGGAUCUUGUUCAGCGAGCAGCAGAUUCAGCGGUUUUUUCUAGGGGGACAGCGCCAGAACCGGGCGAGAAAGAUUUCUAAACUAUCCGUUGUGUUAGCAAAUCAUACGAGUAAUAGUUGUUUAGCUCUGAGUCCAUGAUUAGUCAGCAGAAAGAAGAAAGCUAUCUCCAUUAGUUGUCAUCUCCUACUAGUAGCCAUCUCCAUCCACUACCCCCUCGAUGACCGAUCCCUAAUUCCUCCUAUAAAAAUACCUUACCUAUCCCCUUCCGAAUUAAAAACCCCUCUUGCAACUCACCGAAGAAAGAAAGGGCCUUUAACUUUGGGCAAUCAUUCUUUAACGUUUGAAUGCAUCAAUUCAAUAAGGUCUUUAGUUAGGGUAUUUCCCAACAUCUUUGUGAAACGAUGAAUUGAUUUGAUUGCUGUCAUAAGCAUUGUAAGAACUGGUUUAUGAUACCCUUUAUAUUAAGAUGACAUGAUAUUAAAUACCCCAUACAAUAAUGUAAAGGCUGCUUUGAUUGAGUUAGCCUUGCUUUCUUCUUUCUUGCUUUGCUUCAUGCUGGAACGAGUGCUUACAGAGCACCUCUUCAUAACUCUAUUCCCUAAGAACUACAUUAAUGGGUUGGUUGCUUAGCAGCUGUGAACAAGACAAUAUAAGUUCUCUCUCUGAUCUUAAUCAGACUUUUCUGCUUGAUGGAAUAGAUCAUCUUAUAACCCGUUGAAUAACUUCAGGCUUUAAGAAGAUAAUGUGAGACCUACUAUUAGCCCCGAUGUGAGAGUGUCCUUAGCUCCUGGAAAGAAAGAAAUUCCUUCCUCUCUCCUUUAACUCGACUAACUUCUAUCCUUAUGCCCUUACACGAGACGCAGAUAGCGAGCAGACAGCUAGAUUCUUACUGAUAAAACCACCUUUAUUUUUCUUCAUAUGGAAGAUUCCUCCAUCCACAUGAGUACAAUAAAUGGCAUUUUAAGGCUAUAUAGAUAAAAUAGAAAGAAAGAACUUAUUAUUUAAUGUUAAAAGAGGGAGUCGAUUCACGUACUUCACCAUUUCCUGGCUCGUUAUAGCCUUUCCCCGGUUCGGAAUCGGAAGAAGGCUAUGGCUUAUCCGGAGCUACUAAGGACACAACCAAUCAAACGAUCGGUAAAACGGGUCUCCUUUGGUACAAUCUCCUCGGCCGAGUAUAUCCCGUACGGUUGUUUUCAAAAAGUAGUGCAAUAGCAUUCUAUGAACGAAUUCCUUCAUAGCCCUCAUAGAUAGAGUAGAGAGAAAUGGGAGAAAGCGGAUUAGCCACGUUCUAAGUCUUCGCCAUCUGACUAUCAUAAGAGUCAUUUCAUCCCAGAGUCUCUGGCUGAGGGAUAUCUAGUUUAAGUGCCAGUUGCCAUUGAUCUUCUUGGAGAAAAAAUGGCAUUUAUUUCCCUGCCAGUUUCCUUUGCUGUCGAUGCAGGCGAGUUGGGCCUAUUCUCGUCUCGAAUAAGAGAGUACCUGUUUUAUAACAUAUAAUCUUUCCUGUUUUAUAACAUAUUUCUUUCCUGUACUAGGAUACGAUAUACAAGACUCCUUUUAUUUUCCAGUACUAUUAUAAGCCCCUAUAACCAGGGAGUUUGGGAGUUUAACUAGAACCUAGAUAGAAUCUCCGGAAUCAGAAGCUGCUAUCUCUCGCUAUGCUUUUAUGAGUGGAUUUGAGAGCGCGGCAUAGCUGGAAACUCCUGAAUUUUAGGAAGGUUCUAACCUUAAUGAAAAGGUAAGUUUGAAGAGAGAUUGGGAAAAGUUCCCGAGUGUGAGUAUCCAACCCCUUUUGAAAGGAUCUUUCUGCUUUUGACUUUCCUAAUAUGUGUGUACAUAUUGAUUGUAUCAGUACUACCAGCGAGCUAAGAGCUAACCCCUUUCUUUUCCUAUGGCCUUUUAUUUUUAUACUCACCCCUGAAGAAAUAGAGAUAGAGAGAAUCUAUUAUAUUAGGAAGGCGGAAAGAAGCACUGGCUAAGACUUUCAUGGAGAUGGGGCAUACAGGGCAAGUGUACUAGCAUAUGACUUUCCAUUGAAUUAAGGUUUGUCAAAGCCUAAGCUGCUACUUAGAAAGGGGUUAGCUCUUAGCGGGUAAGGCAAAAGAAAAGGUGUCUGCCGUCACUACUGCCACUUGACUUUAGGAUAAGGUUUUUGCUUCGAGCAGCUCUCGGGCAUUGAUUGAGGAAGUAGCCCAACCUUUUUUCAUCUACGCAAAAAGGAAUUACUUCUUCUUCGUCCGAAUUCGAGGAAAUGGUGCAUCUAGAUCGAUUCCUAAGGCUGGUAAUGCCGAAUCAAUCAAGGAUAAGGCAAUACAGUCAGAAAGGAAAGCCAAAGCAAAGAAAAGAGAAUGAGCCCGUCCCAGCCCAGAAGGCGGCGGAGAAGUCAAGUUAGUAAUUAAGGCGCCUUGCAGUUUCGGAAUAAGAGCCUCGCCCAUACCCAGCAAAUCAAAGAAGAAAAAAGUAAAUAGGGGUAAAGGAGAAGGAAAGUCAUGAGAGAGUGGCUAAGUGCUAGUUUUAUUUUCUUCAUAUUCAUAUUACAGUUAGCGCUUUUUCUUUUAAGAAUGCAUCUGGUUCUAUUAAUGAUGUAAAAGAUCAAUGAAAUAAUCAAUUGAUAUUCUCAGUAUGUGAUGUUGAAAUUGUCUUCUUAUUAACGUGAUAGUGGAAUUCC